rnacentral:lncRNA from 1 species
AUGUUGCCCGCGCUCCCGGGCCCCCGCCCCGCGCCGCAGCUACGGCCCGCCGCCCCCGGUGGCUCCGCCCGCCGCCGCGGGGGCCGGGGCCUGGGCUCGCGCCGCCGGAGUCCCAGCCGCGCAGGGUGUCCGGGCUCCGGGGUUUGCGGUCAGCCGGGGCGGGAGACGCCAGGAGGGGGCGGGGCGGGAGACGCCAGGAGGCGGGGCCAGGAGGCGGGGCCAGGAGGCGGGGCCAGGAGGCGGGGCCAGGAGGCGGGGCCAGGAGGCGGGGCCAGGAGGCGGGGCCAGGAGGCGGGGCCAGGAGGCGGGGGGUGGCGAGGCCAGGCGGGGAAGGCGCGGGGCCAGGAGGAGGGGCGGGGCGGGAGACGCCAGGAGAAGGGGGACGAAGUGGGGCCAAGAGGAGAGGACGGGGCGGGGCCAGGGCGGGGCCACGAGGAGAACGGGCAGGCCAGUAGGGGCGGGGCCAGGGGCGGGGUCACUAGGGGGCGGGCGAGCCUGUUCCGCGCCCGCCCCGCCGCGUGUUGGAGUCACGCUCGCGAAUAUUCCCGAAUCACAGCAGAAUACAUACCGCGUUAUCACUGUGGCGAAAUUAGGAGAGUCAGAGCCGCCGCUUUCCCGGCACCGCUUCGAAGCCAACCGCGUCCUAACCCGCCGGUGCCUCCCUUAGGCAGGCAUCCUCGUUUCUCGAAAUACCAUUUCAAAGAUAAUCGUGAGCGGUCGAAGGCCGCGCGCUCCCCGCUCCCCCUGCUGCCCUCCGGCCCGCGGCGGGGGGGGGGGGGCCGGCCCGGGCGGCCAGGAGCGUGGUGUGUGCUUAAGGGCGUAUCUGGCACUGGGCUGUCUGGACUGAAUCUGGGCUUUGGUGCUCACCAGCUGUGGGGACCCCCCCUUCUCCUAGUUCCCUGCAGGGCGGAUAAUGGUCUAGGUGACCCGGUUGGAAGAGGGAACGAGCUAGCCGAUUGUUUGUUAUGCACUUAGACCGGCACCAAGCACUACGCAAGUGCCAUCUGAGUGUUUUAAGAGUAAAUAAACUGAAAGCUGUCUGACUCCACAGCCCGUCAUGGUGGAAUUUCAGGCCUGCUUUUUGUUCUUUUCCCCUGUGAAAGCUGCAGAAUUGGGACUAAACUAAGCUACACUUGGACCCUGAAUAGGGGGCACCCACGGGCUUCCUGCCCUGGGCAGCCCCUCCUGCCAUCAGCCAGGCUAAGAGGUGAACCCACUUGCUUUAAGUUGGCUCAGACUACUGUGCUCACCGGGGGAUGCCCACGCCGUAAAUCCCUGCCGGCCGGCCUGGCCCCCUUCCCCGCCCGGGCCUGGCCUAGCCUGAGGCCUCUCUAGGGUCCUGUUCCCUCCUCACCCGGGCCUAGUCUGCAGGCCCGCCCUGGCUUCCUCGGCCCCCACCAGGCUCAUUCCUAUCUCAAGGCCUUUGCACGUGCCCGGAAUUAUCUCCCCUGAUUGCUGCAUGAUUAACACCUUUCCCGCCCGUCACCUCCUCAGUUCGCCUUAUCAGAAAGGCCUGUGACGAUCAGAUUGGGCUCCCUAGCAAAACAGGCGGCCGGGCUGCUCAAGGAGGGGUCCAAUUUAUCAGGACAGCGUUGGGGGAGGUGGGUGGGGGGCACAGUAAGGUGGGGAGGCCUUCACCAGUACCUGGCCUGGGAGCCGGGUUGGCCCAAGAGGUGACCCGGGGCUUCCGAGAACCAAGGACAGGCCCCAGCCGGAGCUGUAGGCCCGGGGGCUGCAGGGGACCGCAGGCCAGGGUGUAGGGCCGCACAAACACCCCGCUCCCCUCUCCUCCUUCCCCUGACCUCCCGCCCUCGGCCGGGUCACGGUUUAUCUUAACGCAGGGGUCUCCACAAUGACCUUCCUUUUUUUUUUUUAAGAUCUUUAAAGAUUUAUUUAGUCCUGAGACACCCAGAGAGGGGCAGAGACCCAGCCCAGGGAGGAGCAGGCCCGCGGGGAGCCCGAGGGGGCUGGACCCCGGGACCGGGGCACGGCCUGGGCGGGACCUCGCCUGCCCCCGCCUGCCCCCGAGUCCCUGGUUCCUCUCGGUCCCCAGCGCAGCCCCGGGCCCGGCGCCCUCACUGGGCUCAGGGGUCAACAGGGCGCUCCCCGCAGCAG